GAAGUAAAAGUCGUAACAAGGUUUCCGUAGGUGAACCUGCGGAAGGAUCAUUACUGAUUUGCUUAAUUGCACCACAUGUGUUUUUCUUUGAAACAAACUUGCUUUGGCGGUGGGCCCAGCCUGCCGCCAGAGGUCUAAACUUACAACCAAUUUUUUAUCAACUUGUCACACCAGAUUAUUACUAAUAGUCAAAACUUUCAACAACGGAUCUCUUGGUUCUCGCAUCGAUGAAGAACGCAGCGAAAUGCGAUACGUAAUAUGAAUUGCAGAUAUUCGUGAAUCAUCGAAUCUUUGAACGCACAUUGCGCCCUCUGGUAUUCCGGAGGGCAUGCCUGUUUGAGCGUCGUUUCUCCCUCAAACCGCUGGGUUUGGUGUUGAGCAAUACGACUUGGGUUUGCUUGAAAGACGGUAGUGGUAAGGCGGGAUCGCUUUGACAAUGGCUUAGGUCUAACCAAAAACAUUGCUUGCGGCGGUAACGUCUACCACGUAUAUCUUCAAACUUUGACCUCAAAUCAGG
rnacentral:misc_RNA from 1 species